CGCCUACGGGGCGCAGCAGUGGGGAAUAUUGCACAAUGGGCGAAAGCCUGAUGCAGCAACGCCGCGUGAAGGAAGAAGGGUUUCGGCUCGUAAACUUCUAUUAACAGGGACGAAAGAAAUGACGGUACCUGAAUAAGAAGCCCCGGCUAACUACGUGCCAGCAGCCGCGGUAAUACGUAGGGAGCAAGCGUUGUUCGGAAUGACUGGGCGUAAAGGGUGCGUAGGCGGUUGUACAAGUUAGAAGUGAAAUACCCAGGGCUUAACUCGGGUGCUGCUUCUAAAACUGUAUUACUUUAGUGCAGUAG
rnacentral:rRNA from 1 species